UCCCUGGUAGUCUAGUGGUUAAGACUUGGAGCUUUCAUUGGCAUGGCCAGGGUUUAAUCCCCAGUCAGGGAA
rnacentral:tRNA from 1 species